ensembl:lncRNA
UGUUGGUAUAAAAGAUUAAUGGGGUACAGGAAGAUACAUUAGGUGAAUUCUCUUUAAUUUUGCUUAAUCACAUCUGCUAUUUUUUUAAACACGAGGCAAAAGGGAAAAUUAAAUCUGUGUGAGAGGCACAGGACAAACUCUUGUUCUCUUGCUCAUGGCAGUUGAGCCCAGGACGGGUCCGUUAACCCCUGAUGUGACUGGGGGAUGGCUCAAUCCCAGCCUGCCUGGGCUGGACACGUCGUAGGCGACUUCAGCUUGAUCCUGUGUUACCCCUUAGGGCUUCUCCAGCUCCUUUCAAGGCAGAGAAUGGGCAGGUGUGCUGAACUCGAGGCUCUGAGGAGUACUCACAGGUGGUGAGAUGAACCCACUUCUGUUGAGCUCUAGGUGAGACGUGCACCUGGGUUGCCAGGAAGGACUCUGUUCGUGUAGGCACUCUGGUGCAGUGAUAGAUGGGGUUUUGUCUUCAGUAGAUGCAUGCAAUAAUUAAUCCUGUGAAGGCUUAGAAACCAGAAAAAUGUCUGCAGCAGGACAUUGAGUGGGAAUGCUUUUCAAAUUCUCUUGAUAGGUGCUGGUGAUUUUUAACUGUAUUGAAUUAUUUAGACGGAGCCUUUUGGUCCUCCAGGAUCUGUGCUGAAAGUGCUGUGGUAGGCAUUAUUCCUCUAAUUUGAACAAUGACCUUGCACGUGAGGAACAACUGCCUGUUGCAGCUUGUUGCCAUAGGUAAAAUUAUUCUGGCAAACACAAGAUAAAAAGAAGAGCAUCUUAGUAGUAAUAUAACUUGUGACAGUGAGUUGUUUACAGGUUUAAUGAUAGCUUACAGAUCACUGUACAUUGCAGGAAGUCUCGUUCAUCAUAGUUUUGACUUGAUCGUUACCUUGUGGCAAGUUCUCCACACCUUUCUGAAAACCCUCUGCACCCCCCCAGCAAUUCCCCUUGAGCAGCGCCUCCACGAUGCGACCACCUCACACCUCACUCUGGAAAGCCUUUGAAAUACCUAAAGACAAACGCGGAUCAGUUACUUGUCCUGUAAGAUGCAAAGAGAGAGAGAGAGUGGUGCAUCACUGCUGUUUCCUGAAGCUGAAGUGUUGAGGACAUAUAUCAAAUCCAUGUAAUGGAGGAGCAUCACAUGGGAAACACAGCCUUCAAGAGAGAUUUUAAUGGCCAUCAGUGGUGCAGAGACCACGCACCAAGCAAUGCUGAUUCUCCAGAUGUGCCCAGAGGUGCCCGGGCAGCCAAGGAGGAGACACCCCUGCACUGACCCAGCACUGGAGCAUCCUUGUGGGCUGGACCGAGGGAAGUAAACGGGCAGUAAGAGCAGCCGGCACUUUGAAAAAGGGGUGGCAGGCCGGAUGGGGUCAGCAGAAAAAUAUUUAUAGUGGAAAUGGUGGAGCUUCCUUUGCACAGCUGAUUUUUGAUGUGGUUCUCUUGUCUUUAGAAAGAUGAUACUCCAGUAAGCGAUCCUGCGUCUUAACAGAGCUGUCAGCAAAUGACUCCUGUCCCAAUGUUUUGGUGCCAUUUUUCCUGAGCGGCCUGUGUAAUCGAUGGUGAAUCUUUACAUGCCCAGAGUGAGUUACUCAGAUCCAAAGCCAUUCUGGAAACAGUCUGUCUGACAGCCUUUUUAUUGGCAAAGAAGCUAUUUAAAUGAGAAACCUGUGUGAGAGAUGAACUAGCUGCCCCAUGCGAUGGCAAGCGGAAGCUGAUGAAUUCUGCUCGGGCAACCAGGUGACCUUUCUGCUUUCCACUCUAAUUACUUUCCUGUCAGAUGUUCAAUUAGAGUGACAGGGUCCCAAAUUCCCAACGAUCUCUGUUUUGUCUUAGAAGAUUAAAGGGUGGCAACUAUUUUCAAUAUGAUUAUCAUCAUUAUCUCUGGGAGAUUUUAUACUUCAGAAGUCAAAGUCAUAAUAGCCCAGCUCACUGCAAUUAUUUGCAAAUUGCCUUAAUGUAUUUUCCAGAAGCUUUUCCUGCACUUUGUAAUUUAUUUAUUUGCUAAGCCAAUAGAACAUUAAAAUGCUAAAAUGUCUAUGAACCUAUAUGAAGCCUGUCUGAUGGUAACUUGCAUGGACUCAGCCAGCAUCCUCUUUACCUACCAGUAAUCUUAUACAUAUUUUGUUAAAAUACC